GAAAGUACGUAGCGGUAAUUGACAAGUAUAAAUAGGCAAUGGCUCUGGUAAUGGCUAUCAUUACUAAAGCUUGCAGUGCUUGUGUAAAUUCAAGUCCCGGGAUAGCGUCUGGACUUUGCUUCCAAUUAGCUUCAAUAUGAAGGCGACAUUGCUUUUUGCAAUCUUCUUGGCCAUUUUCAUCACCGUUUUAGCUGGUGGAAAGUCUUGGUAUUAUCCUUACCAUUAUCCAUAUCACUUCGGCAAGUCCUGGCCUUACUAUUAUUACCAUCACUACUAUUACCCUCACUAUCCUUACUACCACUGGCCCUACCACUAAAUCAUCCAAGAAAACAAGUAAUUUUAUAGGUAUUUUUCAUCUGCUGCUUUUUCAAAAACUUGCUGCCAAAUUACGCAUCAACAAAAUUAUACAAGAUGUCAAAUAAACACUUCCAUAUUUGAAAUAAUUUACUUGACCUCAGAAAAUUUCAUGUACCAAACUUUAUGCAUUCACCUUCGUUUGCUUGAUUAUUCUUUAAAAUACAAAAUACGCCUUGUA